rnacentral:lncRNA from 1 species
AAAGCCGUCUGUGUUUCAAUCUCUUAUUGAAAGUUUACCCAGUGACUGGUAAAUGCGUUUCCCUGCGUGAUAACCCCCCGCUGCUGCUGCAGAUCAGCACAUCCUCUUGCCACAUUGCCAUUUGCUGGUAGGAUUUGUGUUUAUCUGCCUUUGCAGAAUUAAGUUAUUUCCCCUGCCUCACACUCUCCUUCAGCUGGACUGCUCGUGAAGCGGUGCUGUCACAAGAGCAGGGAGCUGUCUGAGAAGUGACCUGCCAAACACCCUUUUCUCUUUCCCCCAAAGCUAGAUCCCUUGCCCAGCUGAUGGCGUGAUCUCAAAAACAGUUGUGAUGGCACAGGGCCUGGAGCAAGCGGCUGGCUGGGAGACGGGCUGGUGACUUCUGAUACAACCAGACACUUAAGGGAACGAUUCAUAAAGAGAAGCCUGGAAAGACUAAAGCUGCAAGAACAGGAGCACAGUUGAAAAAAAAAAGGAAAGACAAAAAAAAAAAAAAAAAGGGGGAGGGAAAAAAAGAAGAGGGUUGAAAGAAAAAAACGUGAUGAUGAACAAAAAGUUCAAGAGAGAAAAAAGAAAGCUAAGCUCAAGAAGAGAGGAGAGGCAGAUAGAUGGAGAUGAAAAGCAUCCCCAAAAGCAGCACAAAGUACCAACUGAAGAACAGCAGUGUCCAGAGAAUGUGCCUGAAUGGGAAGAAAGGAAAUCCCUGCUAGCUCAGAGAAGAGCGGAGUCUAUCAGACUGCUUACAGUGCUGUUAAACCAUGUGAAAGUAAGAAUACUUUAAAACAUAUUUUAAAAUUUGAA